UUCAGUGUGGUUGGGAACAGUUGUAAUGCCCAUGGCUUGAACAGGGAACAAGCAAUUGUUCACGACAGCAGCAAAAGCCUGAGCACAGAAUGGCCUUUCUGAAGCUGAAAGCUGACUCCAAAGAGUUGGAGGCUUUUGGGAAGCUCUGUGGACUGCUGGUCUCUAUUUAUCCCCAGGCCAGAAGCAAUGCUGGUAGCUGAAAUGUGAACUUCUCUAGAGCUCUGUAAGUGAUCUCCCUUUGGUCCCAGAGGAUCAUCCUCUCACAGGGAAGGAUGUUACUGGCUGGAAACAUCUGUCUUCUACAAAGGAAUACCCAUGGCUCACACCUUUUACCGUAUUUAACAAAGUCUGUGCAUCAGGUAUGUGUCAGGUAGUUCCUCUGCUUCUGGAUGAACAGUGCCAGCAUCUGACUUAGCAAAAACCCUACAUUGCUGUGCAGAGGUCCUCCGUGCUGCCACCCUGUUAUACUGGUGGUCUGAUGCAUAUGGCUUUAGUGGAGGAUUCUCAAUGACAUUUUACCUGACCAUAGACCCAGGAGUCUCCUUAAGACUUCACAACAGAGACCCUACUCAAUGGGAGGUUACAAAGUCCUUAUGUAAAAACCAAUUAUUUAUUUUUGCUUAGAGAAAAUUAUCUGUCCUGUUUGAAAAAAAAAAAAAAAAGUCUUAUGAUAACCUGAUGACUCAACAGUUUUAAGGCAAUUUUGAGGGGAAUGAAGGAAAAAAAAAAAGGCAAGAAACUAUCUAAAAGGAAAGACAACCAGAUGAGGGAGAAAACACUAAAAUUAAUUGCAGGGUGUCAUGAUACGCUUUCUAGAUAAGCACAUUUGCCAUUAAGGUGAGGGAAGGUUUUGCCAGCAAAACUUAGUACCAUGUUUUCUUCCUGAAAGACCAAUUUCUCUUCUGGCAGUAAAUAGGUAACACUCACUUUCUCCUGUGACGUAGUAGUGCGCAGAAGCCUUUAGAAAGGUUUGCUUUAUAUUGCUGCUUGCCUGACUGCUGCUCUCCUGCCCUGAUGAAGGCAACGUUUGUGUCAUGGUUGGAUUUGUAAACAAAAUGUUCUAAUGACUUACCAUGAGAGUUUGAUUAAAGCCCUUGAAAAGACCAAGAAUUGCAUGCAUGGAAUUAGUUAUUCUUUGAUAUCAAAGACCCUUUGGCUUGGUUUUUUUUUGUCAGAAGGCAGAACAACUGUGUAGAUAAAUGACUUUGGUCUCUGUCUGCCUCAAACAGCACAUGGGAUGUGAGAAGUACUCAGAGGAUUUUGUUCUGGAUAUAUAUUUUUUUCCCAUUACAAGUUAAUGUAAAAACACCACAAAACAGUGUAUGCAGCAUUUGGGCUGAUACAGAGCCAGGUGGGGAGCUUGUCCAAAGACCUAAGUGUUUGCAGCCAUCCCAAAAAGCACAUCUGUAGGUCACUAAAAUGCAUCCUGUCUUGCCAUAUAGCUGUUGGAUCCUGAUCUGUACUGAGAAUUUGCACGUGUGAGUAGUGAUGACAGUGCUAGCACUAGGCACCUUAUAAGUAUGCAGCACUGCCUAAAAUGUGUGUUCAUCACAGCUCCCUAUGGUGUGCCACGUGCCACAGAUUUCACACACUGAGUUUCCAUUAGCUCAAGAAGUAAUAAGCAUAUGGGUAUUUGGGGCUGGAAGAAGUGAGCUCUGCCCCAGAGUAUUGCCAUGAACUUCUGGCAGUCAAUAACGGGCACGGCCUGGCCAGUUUGAUAUAGUGAGUAUUACCAACAGGAUUAGAGGAACUAGCAGAGGAGUUUAAUAUUUUUUAACCAGUUUAUUACAAUUCCUUGGACAAAACCCAUUUGAACUCAUAUUUUUCAGAAUCCUGUUUUCAAGUAUGGUUUAUAACCUGUGAGCUAUAUCGAAGCAGCUGUAAUUAAAACAUGUAUAAAUAUAGCCUAUACUAUUUUUAAGAAUAGUGGAGGUAAAUUAUACCCUUUUGUGUAUAUGGGUUAUAAGUAAUUGUUUGGUUUCAGAUAUGUGACUGAGAACAAAAUAUCUUUUUAUUUCUUUAAAGACAUUAGAAAAAUGGGAUCGUAAUUUAUUUCAUUCUUAUGGUAUGCUCAUCUCUGUAGUACUUGACUGUCAUGUGAUAUUACUAUCAAAGUAAUUUCUUGCAUGCUUGCUCUUUCAGUUUCUUAAGGGGAGAGACAAG